UACGAAGGGGGCUAGCGUUGCUCGGAAUCACUGGGCGUAAAGCGCACGUAGGCGGAUUGUUAAGUCAGGGGUGAAAUCCUGGAGCUCAACUCCAGAACUGCCUUUGAGACUGCAUCGCUUGAAUCCAGGAGAGGUGAGUGGAAUUCCGAGUGUAGAGGUGAAAUUCGUAGAUAUUCGGAAGAACACCAGUGGCGAAGGCGGCUCACUGGCCCGAUACUGACGCUGAGGCACGAAAGCGUGGGGAGCAAACAGG
rnacentral:rRNA from 1 species